rnacentral:tRNA from 1 species
CUGGUCUUGUAAACCAGUAAUGAAAAAANNCCUAUUUUCUCAGGACA